UCUCCAUUAUUAUAUACUUAUCUUUGAUAUUGUAUAAAUAUUUAUUCCUCUCUAUGAAAUAUGUUGGAGAAAUUAUUAUGAAUGGUAUAAAUGACAUAUACUGGAAAUAAAGGUACAAUACCCUAAUGUAAAAGCAUUCUGAAAAGUAGUAAAUAGAAAGAUAGUACUUUAUAUUAUCUUUAUUUGACAACAACUUUUUUCUAUCAAUUCGUAUAGACGAAUAUGUUUAAAUCAGUUUUGGAAAGUGCCUAAUGGACACACGCUCGUUAAAUGCUUUGACCCCCGCGAGAACUUUGGCGACAAUCAAACAGUUCAUGAUGCCUGGUAUUGGGGUUAGAAUAUAUCUUUACGAAGGUGCAUAGAAAAUGAUACCGAUAUAAUCGGAAUCUUAAACGCGAUGAGACAUUCAUAAUGGUAUUCGAGUUAAUUGAAAUAUAAGAACUGUCAAACGUACAGAAGGAAAGCCAGGCAGUUCAGAAAAGUGUUUGUGUUUUUUAAAUGAAAAAUUGACACACACAUACACGGCUCCGAUGGACGCCAUAGCGUCGUUGUUCGCCGCUCGACGAUCGCGGUUCUCCGGCAAACGCGUUUGAGAAUCAGCAAACGAAUCUGGUAUCCCGUCUAAUUACGUCUGAGCUCUUCCACGUCGGCAUUUUAAAAUUCGGCCCGCCCGGAUGGCGGACGAUCACGAGGUUAUCGAAAUCUUUAAACGACAAAAGCGAAACUUCAAGCACGUUCGCACGCGUCGCUCUUGCCUUUACGCGGCAUUUUUUUCCACGUACUUUUUCUAGUGAGCGUAUUCCUCUCGAUCGAACGCCAUCUUGACUGCGCCAGAAUACCAUCAUUCUAUGGAGAGAGAGCUAUUGCGAGAGAACAGUCCCUUGAUUCCUAUUACAUUUCUAACAUUUUUUUUUUUGUUUUAUUUCCAUUCUCUCUCUCUCUCUCUCUCCCCUCUUUUCAUCUUUCCGUACGCUAUUACUUAACAUUUUUUGCCAUAUCAUUGCUACAUAUAUAAAUUAAUCAUUACUUUAUAUAUAAAAGGAAAAGGAACAAAAAAGAAGAAAAGAAAAAAGAAAAGCUAUUUGCCGAUUUGAAUGAUCCUCUUUAUUUUCGUGCAUUUGAAAAAAAGAAGAAAAAAAAAAGAAAAAGAAGAAAAAAACGGGUUAGAUAAAAUGCAAUAAGAAGCGUUUUAUAUUUUGUUCAUUUUAUAGAAUACAUUGAUAUACGUAAUAUACUUUUUUUUUUUUUUUUUUUUUGACAUAAAUCUAUGUAAAAAUAUAUCAGAAAGUCAUUUCAUUUUGUUUAUAUUACUAAAACAUUUAAAAAAUCUUAAAGAUUUUAAAGAUAGUCAUUACAAUUAUCUUACAGAUGUACUCUUCUACCAUUAAGAUUAAUAUUGGAAUAUACAUAGUUGUAUAAUAUUUACAUAUAAUAUGAGAAUUACAAAACUAGGAAAAAUACUGGUUUGCACAUCGUGAAUACUUCUCGAUUGAGUUCCUGACAUUAUUAUAUGAAAAUAUAAUGCAAGUAUUCCGAAUGAUAUAUAAACUAAUAUAAAACAUUUUAAUUAAAUUUCUCCUUACAUAUAAAUUAAAAUAUAUUAAUUUGCACUUUCACAUGCAUCGAUCCAAUCGUUAUAUACAUC